UGAUAAAUAGUUUAAUCAAAAACAAAUGAUUUCGACUCAUUAGAUUAUGAUAAAUCAUAUUUAUCAA
rnacentral:tRNA from 7 species